rnacentral:rRNA from 1 species
AUUGAACGCUGGCGGCAGGCUUAACACAUGCAAGUCGAGCGGGGUGAUGGUGCUUGCACUAUCACUUAGCGGCGGACGGGUGAGUAAUGCUUAGGAAUCUGCCUAUUAGUGGGGGACAACAUCUCGAAAGGGAUGCUAAUACCGCAUACGUCCUACGGGAGAAAGCAGGGGAUCACUUGUGACCUUGCGCUAAUAGAUGAGCCUAAGUCGGAUUAGCUAGUUGGGGGGGUAAAGGCCUACCAAGGCGACGAUCUGUAGCGGGUCUGAGAGGAUGAUCCGACACGCUGGGGCUGAGACACGGCCCAGACUCCUACGGGAGGCAGCAGUGGGGAAUAUUGGACGAUAGGGUGAACCCUGAUCCAGCCAUGCCGCGUGUGUGAAGAAGGCCUUAUGGUUGUAAAGCACUUUAAGCGAGGAGGAGGCUCUUUUGGUUAAUACCCAAGAUGAGUGGACGUUACUCGCAGAAUAAGCACCGGCUAACUCUGUGCCAGCCGCCGCAGUAA